GACGAACGCUGGCGGCGUGCCUAACACAUGCAAGUAGAACGCUGAAGGAGGAGCUUGCUUCUCUGGACGAGUUGCGAACGGGUGAGUAACGCGUAGGUAACCUGCCUGGUAGCGGGGGAUAACUAUUGGAAACGAUAGCUAAUACCGCAUAAUAUUGACUAUUGCAUGAUAGUCAGUUGAAAGGUGCAACUGCACCACUACCAGCUGGACCUGCGUUGUAUUUGCUAGUUGGUGGGGUAACGGCGCACUAAGGCGACGAUACAUAGCCGACCUGAGAGGGGGAGCGGCCGGACUGGGAGGGUGACACGGCCCAGACGCCUACGGGAGGCAGCAGGAGGGAAACGUCGGCAAUGGACGGAAGACUGACCAAGCAGCGCGGCGGGAGUGAGGAAGGUUUUCGGAUCGGAAAGCUCGGUUGUAGGAGAAGAACGAGUGUGAGAGUGGAAAGCUCACAGUGUGACGGUAUCUUACCAGAAAGCGACGGCUAACUACGUG
rnacentral:rRNA from 1 species